GCGGAAUGUGUCAUGUAGCGGUGAAAUGCUUAGAUAUGACACAGAACACCGAUCGCGAAGGCAGCUAGCUAAGCUAUAACUGACGCUCAUGCACGAAAGCCGUGGGGAUCAAACAGGAUUAGAUACCCUGGUAGUCCACGCUGUAAACGAUGAUUACUCGAUGUUGGCGAUACACAGUCAGCGUCUGAGCGAAAGCAAUAAGUAAUCCACCUGGGGAGUACGAUCGCAAGAUUGAAACUCAAAGGAAUUGACGGGGGCCCGCACAAGCGGAGGAGCAUGUGGUUUAAUUCGAUGAUACGCGAGGAACCUUACCUGGGCUCGAACGUAAGAUGACUGUAGGUGAAAGCUUACAUCUCUUCGGAGCAUUUUACGAGGUGCUGCAUGGUUGUCGUCAGCUCGUGCCGUGAGGUGUCGGGUUAAGUCCCAUAACGAGCGCAACCCCUACCUUUAGUUGCCAUCAGGUCAUGCUGGGGACUCUAAAGGAACUGCCUACGCAAGUAGUGAGGAAGGCGGGGAUGACGUCAAAUCAGCACGGCCCUUACGUCCAGGGCUACACACGUGCUACAAUGGCCGAUACAGAGGGCAGCUACCUGGUGACAGGAUGCAAAUCUCCAAAGUCGGUCUCAGUUCGGAUCGGAGUCUGCAACCCGACUCCGUGAAGUUGGAUUCGCUAGUAAUCGCGCAUCAGCCAUGGCGCGGUGAAUACGUUCCCGGGCCUUGUACACACCGCCCGUCAAGCCAUGGAAGCUGGGGGGACCUAAAGUCGAUGACCGCAAGGAGUCGCCUAGGGUAAAACCAGUGACUGGGGCUAAGUCGUAACAAGGUAGCCG
rnacentral:rRNA from 1 species